GAAAUCUAAUGUGAAUAACUCAGUGACAAAAAGCAAUAAACAGUAUGAAGACGUUGUAUAAACAAAUCAUGCUAAGUGAAUAAGUAUUUUACUACACAGAGAAAUUUAAGACUUCUAAUAUAAGUGGAAAGUAGUUGACAAACUGUACCACAAAUUUGAAAUGAUAAACACGAGCAGUUUUCCAGACAGUUAUGCAGACAACGGUGAAUAUUGGAACUACUGAUGUUUCUUAUAAUAGUUGUCGAAUCUUCCAUACAGUUGGCGACUCUGAUUUUUAAUGAAGUUUAAUGAGAUAAUAAAACUCAUUUUAUAGCAAGGCAA